rnacentral:rRNA from 1 species
CCUACGGGAGGCAGCAGUGAGGAAUAUUGGUCAAUGGGCGAGAGCCUGAACCAGCCAAGUCGCGUGAGGGAGUACUGCCCUAUGGGUUGUAAACCUCUUUUGUCGGGGAGCAAAAGCCGGACGUGUCCGGCUGUGAGAGUACCCGAAGAAAUAGCAUCGGCUAACUCCGUGCCAGCAGCCGCGGUAAUACGGAGGAUGCGAGCGUUAUCCGGAUUUAUUGGGUUUAAAGGGGGCGCAGGCGGAUUUUUAAGUCAGCGGUAAAAUCGUGGGGCUCAACCCCAUCCAGCCGUUGAAACUGGGGAUCUAGAGUGUGCGAGAGGUAUGCGGAAUGCGUGGUGUAGCGGUGAAAUGCAUAGAUAUCACGCAGAACCCCGAUUGCGAAGGCAGCAUACCGGUGCACAACUGACGCUCAGGCACGAAAGCGUGGGUAUCGAACAGGAUUAGAUACCCGGGUAGUC